GGAGGAAUAUUGGUCAAUGGACGCAAGUCUGAACCAGCCAUGCCGCGUGAAGGAUGACGGCCCUAUGGGUUGUAAACUUCUUUUCUACGGGAAUAAACCCUUUUACGUGUAAGAGGCUGAAGGUACCGUAGGAAUAAGCACCGGCUAACUCCGUGCCAGCAGCCGCGGUAAUACGGAGGGUGCAAGCGUUAUCCGGAUUCAUUGGGUUUAAAGGGUGCGCAGGCGGAGCUUUAAGUCAGUGGUGAAAUCU
rnacentral:rRNA from 1 species